rnacentral:piRNA from 1 species
UGGAAAAGCAGAGCUGCCCUACC